AUGUUUAACACAAAGGGCCAGGGCUUGUCCUGGAAAGAGUCAUGAGUGCCACUAGGCAUGCAUCCUGGACCCAGCACAUAUCAGUUAGAGCGUGCUGUAUUUUUACACAAGCAUCCUUAUCGGUCUGGGGAGAAGGAGUUAGCUGCCGUCCUUGAGGGGGCAGAGGUGCCUGGCGUUCAUUGGGAGAAGGGAGGGGGUUAAAUUCGGUUCCAGCAUAGACCAGCUG